UACGAAGGGGGCUAGCGUUGCUCGGAAUCACUGGGCGUAAAGGGUGCGUAGGCGGGUAAGUAAGUCCGUGGUGAAAUCUCUGAGCUUAACUCAGAAACUGCCGUGGAUACUAUUUGCCUUGAAUAUUGUGGAGGUGAGCGGAAUAUGUCAUGUAGCGGUGAAAUGCUUAGAUAUGACAUAGGACACCAAUUGCGAAGGCAGCUCACUACACAAUCAUUGACGCUGAGGCACGAAAGCGUGGGGAUCAAACAGG
rnacentral:rRNA from 1 species